GUUGCUUAAAGCUAAAUUGUGGAAAAACUGUAAGAGAUAUCAAAAAACUGAGUACAACUGUAAUAGUCGACAAGUGAAUGAACAUUUUAAAGCAAAAAUGAGGUCUCUAGGUGAAAGUAUGCUGAAGUUAUAAGGUCUAGAAGGUGGAAGAAUAAAAGGAAGAAUUGGAAGAUUUCCCCAUUGACUUCAAUGUUAAAAUUUUUGCACAAAAACUAAAAAAAAAAAAAAAGUAUAAAUGUUAGAAAAGUGAAAAGUAAUAGCAAACGUGUCCUGAAGGAGUGGAAUAGUUUAAAGUUUGAACGGUUGAAAUCGCACAAACUGGGAAGGAGUUGAAAGCGGACGAAAAACGGCGGAAGAAUAAUAAUAAUAAUAAUAAUAAUAACAAUAAUAAAGAAACGGGAGAAUAACAAUAAGUGGAAAUGCCUAUCAGCAUUUCCACUUAACUAGAAAAAUUGCAUUUCCUUGCAGAAAAUGCGUGGAAAUGCUGAGUGCUGAAAGCUGAAAAAGCAAUGCAAAACUGCCAAUAAAAAAUGGAGGAAGGUAUAAACGGAAAAACUGUAGAAAAGGUGGAGUAGAAGAAGAAGAAAUUGUAUCAAUGGAAGAAUUGUAGUAUAGCUGGAGGUAAAUUAGUUGGAUUAAUGUACAAAUUGUCUGACAGCCUAAGUGAAAAAUGUAUAUGAUUGAUGUGAAUAAACAGAACUGAUAUGGAUAAUUGAAUUUGAAAAACAAAUGCCUUUAAACAAUGUGUAACAAUGUUCCUAUUAAAUGUACAAAUAGUAAAACAGAUUUUUGCAGUCUGCAGCAUCCAACCAUAGUAACUUGAGAAUGCAGAACAGCACCAUCUAUUGCCCUGCUUCAGUUACUGCCCUACAUCUGAAUGCAGAAAGUAUGAAACAGCUGAAGUUAAAUUAAUUGUAUAAAUGUAGAAAGUAUAGAAAAGAAAAGCAGAAGUAGAAGAAAAAGAAGAAGUUAGUAUGUUAAAAGAGUUAAAGACAAGAACUGUAACAACAAAGUUCAUAUUGGGGCUGUAUUUUCUACUGACAGAGAGACAGUAAUGCACACAUGGAAACAGUGUGUGUGUGUGUGUGUGUGUGUGUGUGUGUGUGUGUGUGUGUGUGUGUGCCCGCGCGCGCGCGCGGCCGAGCCCGUGCGUGUGCAUAUGCGUGUGUGAUCGAAGCACACAGCCCAUGACAAGUGCAGAAUCUGACAGAGACAGUAAGAGAGAAAGAGACACAGUAAUGCACUCAUGGAAACAGUGUGUGUGUAUGUGUGUGUGCCCGCGCGCGCGCGCGGCCGAGCCCGUGCGUGUGCAUAUGCGUGUGUGAUCGAAGCACACAGCCCAUGACAAGUGCAGAAUCUGACAGAGACAGUAAGAGAGAAAGAGACACAGUAAUGCACUCAUGGAAACAGUGUGUGUGUAUGUGUGUGUGCCCGCGCGCGCGCGCGGCCGAGCCCGUGCGUGUGCAUAUGCGUGUGUGAUCGAAGCACACAGCCCAUGACAAGUGCAGAAUCUGACAGAGACAGUAAGAGAGAAAGAGACACAGUAAUGCACUCAUGGAAACAGUGUGUGUGUGUGUGUGUGUGUGCCCGCGCGCGCACGAGCGGCCGAGUCCGUGCGUGUGCAUGUGCGAUCGAAGCAGACAGCCCAUGACAAGUGCAGAAUCUCUGGCUCUGAAGGAAUGUACUCACCUCCUGGGCAAGCUGUACAAUUUCAUGACUUCAGACCGAUUUUGUGAGAAGCAGGACGAGUGUACCUCCAUUUUGAUGUGUUUUUUAUGGCUGUGGAGUGAAAAUUGCGGCCGCAGCAGCAAAAUAAUCAUGCUUGGUGUAGUGAAUCCAAAAGGCCCCGCCCGCAUCUAGCGGUGACGUAACAUCUGACGUCACACGCUGUAGCGUGAGUCAGGCUGAAAAAGGCAGAGAACUUCAUGUUGCUCCAAGCGAAAUUGUGCAAAAACGGUAGGAAAUAGCAAAAAGGAGUGAAUACAACAUUUGUAGCAGACACGUUGCUGAACAUUUUAAAGCAAAAAUGAGGUCUGUAGGUGAAAGUAUGCAGAAGUUAUAAGGGUGAGAAGGUGUUAUAGCUGUAUCUCCAUUCAUUUGUAAUGGAACAAAUUUUGCAGAAAAAGUGAAAUAUUGCAAAAAGUAUAAAUGGUAGAAAGGUGAAAAGUAAUAGCCGUAAUGUCCUGAAGGAGUGCAUUAGUAUAAAGUUUGAAUGGUGAAAAUAGCACAAAGUGGUGAGGAGUUGAAAAGGGCCAAAAAAGGUACGGAAGAAUAAUAAUAAUAAUAAUAAUAACUAGAAAAAUUGCAUUUCCUUGCAGAAAAUGCGUGGAAAUGCUGAGUGCUGAAAGCUGAAAAAGCAAUGCAAAACUGCCAAUAAAAAAUGGAGGAAGGUAUAAACGGAAAAACUGUAGAAAAGGUGGAGUAGAAGAAGAAGAAAUUGUAUGAAUGGAAGAAUUGUAGUAUAGCUGGAGGUAAAUUAGUUGGAUUAAUGUACAAAUUGUCUGAUAGCCUAAGUGAAAAAUGUAUAUGAUUGAUGUGAAUAAACAGAACUGAUAUGGAUAAUUGAAUUUGAAAAACAAAUGCCUUUAAACAAUAUGUAACAAUGUUCCUAUUAAAUGUACAAAUAGUAAAACAGAUUUUUGCAGUCUGCAGCAUCCAACCAUAGUAACUUGAGAAUGCAGAACAGCACCAUCUAUUGCCCUGCUUCAGUUACUGCCCUACAUCUGAAUGUAGAAAGUAUGAAACAGCUGAAGUUAAAUUAAUUGUAUAAAUGUAGAAAGUAUAGAAAAGAAAAGCAGAAGUAGAAGAAAAAGAAGAAGUUAGUAUGUUAAAAGAGUUAAAGACAAGAACUGUAACAACAAAGUUCAUAUUGGGGCUGUAUUUUCUACUGACAGAGAGACAGUAAUGCACACAUGGAAACAGUGUGUGUGUGUGUGAAUACAACUUUUGUAGCAGACACGUUGCUGAACAUUUUAAAGCAAAAAUGAGGUCUGUAGGUGAAAGUAUGCAGAAGUUAUAAGGGUGAGAAGGUGUUAUAGCUGUAUCUCCAUUCAUUUGUAAUGGAACAAAUUUUGCAGAAAAAGUGAAAUAUUGCAAAAAGUAUAAAUGGUAGAAAGGUGAAAAGUAAUAGCCGUAAUGUCCUGAAGGAGUGCAUUAGUAUAAAGUUUGAAUGGUGAAAAUAGCACAAAGUGGUAAGGAGUUGAAAAGGGCCAAAAAAGGUACGGAAGAAUAAUAAUAAUAAAGAAAUAGUAGAAUAACAAUAAGUGGAAAUGCUGUGUCAGCAUUUCCACUUAAUAAUAAAGAAAUAGUAGAAUAACAAUAAGUGGAAAUGCUGUGUCAGCAUUUCCACUUAACUAGAAAAAUUGCAUUUCCUUGCAGAAAAUGCGUGGAAAUGCUGAGUGCUGAAAGCUGAAAAAGCAAUGCUAAACUGCUAAUAAAACAUGGAGAAAGGUAUAAAUAUUAAAGCUGUUGAAGGGGUGAGAAAGAAAUGUAAGUUGGAUAAUUGAUUAAUUGGUUGAAGGACAAAUAGUAUGAAUAUGCUCUAUAAAAGGAAAUUCUAUUCAUGCUGAAAGAGGCUAGAAAAAUGUCUAAAAUUGCACAAAGUUUGAAUGAAGAAGGAAAUUGCCUUAAAAGGCAGGAAGGUGAGAAGUGGCAUAAGUUUAAGUUGUAGUACUAGAAGUAGUAUAAGAGGUCAAGUCGUGAUACUAGUAGUCACGUCAGCAGUAGAAGUAGUUUGAGAGUAAAAGAAGUAUAAGUCAAAGUAGUAGAGAAAGUAGAAAUAGUAGCAAUAGCAGCAGUAGAGAAAGUAGAAAUAGGAGCAAUAGCAGUUGAAGUAGAGGGGAAAGUACUAGUUUAAUUGACAUUAGCAGUAGUUGUAAUACUUGAGGUAGGAUUUUGUUUGAAGGAUGGAAUAAUGCAUAAAUAUUAAAAUUAAUUUAAAACAGGGAAAAUUUAAAUAAUUAAAAAUCCUCAAGUAUCAGAAAGUUUUAAAGUAUUAGAAAGGUUUGAAUGAGUUUAAAUUAGUUUGAAAAAAAAUUAAAUGAUAAAUCAUCACUGAGUGACUUUAAAAUGUGAAAAAUGUAAAUGAAUAUAAAUCCUAAAUACACCCCAUAAUGUCCUCAAUGAGCUUAAAUUUUAAAGCCCUGAAUGGUUUCUGUAGGUCAAAGGUCAUGUCAUGUCAUGGAGAUAGGGGCUGAAGUUUUUUCAAGCGCUCUAGUAAAGGGUUUUAAGUGUCAUCCCCAGUGCUAUGGGUGCUGAGCCUGGCUUCAUGUGUCUCAUAUGGCCAUUAGAAGCAGCUUUCCAGUCAGCUGUGUGUCUCCAGGUGCACUAAUUGGUUGCCAUGCGGACCUUGGAUGCAUAACUAUAGCAGGAGAAAGAAGGCUUGAAGCUAAGGAAACAGGACUCCAAGUAGGCCCUGACGCUCAUCCUCUGUAUCUAUUCCUGAUAAGGAGCUUGUGAGAACACAAGACUCUGCUAAACACAUUAAUACAAUUUAUUAUCACAAUCCUCAAAACACCCCAUAAUAUCUUCAAUGAGCUGAAUUUUAGAAGCCCAGAAUGGUUUCUAUAGCUCAAAGUUUGUGGGUGGAGAUAGGUGGCGAAGCAGACACAUAUUAACUGUGUGUACAAGCAGCUGAACUGCAAGGUGGACCUCAAAAAGCAACAAGUACAAGAAUGUGUGUGCGUGUGUGUGUGUGUGUCUCGUUAAUGACUGCAUCCUAAACAGCUGUGAGAUCAAAGGCAAAUCACUAACCUACUGUUUGACUGAGAGGUGCUGAACUGCAGUGAAUUUCAGCCUGUGAACUUCUUCACAUAGCGUGAUUUCCUUAAGUCCCAGAAUGAAAAUAAGAACAUCGUAUGAAUCCUCCGUCCUUCAUGAACACAAUGAUGUGUUUUUCAUGUAUGUACUUCGAAAAAUGAGGCCACAACAGCAAGUUAAAAAAGUCUGAGCCUGAGCGAUGAUCCGGAUUUUCUUGGAGAAAAAUAACAUUAUGGUCAAUGGGAGAGAUUUCCGCCUUCCUUGGACAGUUGGUCACCUGCUGGCCAAGGGGUACGAUUUAAUGAUUUGAAACCUCUUUUGUGAGAAGCAGGACACAUAUACCUCCAUUUUGAUGUAUUAUUUAUCGCUGUGGAGUGAGAUUUGUGGGCAUGGGAGCGAUAUAUUCGAGCGAGGUUCUGUCGAUCAGAGACGAGGUCUGCACUCUAGCUGAUGACAUCAUCACUCUAAACUCUCCAAUACACACCCAUUAUAAAGCUUGAAAUUUGCUGAAAACCACAAGUUGCUUAAAGCUAAAUUGUGGAAAAACUGUAAAAGAUAUCAAAAAACUGAGUACAACUAUAAUAGUCGACAAGUGAAUGAACAUUUUAAAGCAAAAAUGAGGUUUCUAGGUGAAAGUAUGCUGAAGUUAUAAGGUCUAGAAAGUGGAAGAAUAAAAGGAAGGAGUGGAAGAUUUCCCCAUUGACUUCAAUGUUAAAAUUUUUGCACAAAAAGUUAAAAAAAACAAAAAGUAUAAAAGGUAGAAAGGUAAAAAGUACAAGCAAACAUGUCCUGAAGGAGUGGAAUAGUUUAAAGUUUGAACGGUUGAAAUCGGACAAAGUUUGAAGGAGUUGAAAGCGGACGAAAAACGGCGGAAGAAAAAUAAUAAUAACUAGAAAAAUUGCAUUUCCUUGCAGAAAAUGCGUGGAAAUGCUGAGUGCUGAAGCUGAAAAAGCAAUGCUAAACUGCUAAUAAAACAUGGAGAAAGGUAUAAAUGUUAAGGCUGUUGAAGGAGUGAAAAAGAAAUAUAGGUUGGACAAUUGUUUAAUUGGUUGAAGGACAAAUAGUAUGAAUAUGCUCCAAAAAAGGAAAUUUUAUUCAUGGUGAAAGAGGCUAGAAAAAUGUCUAAAAUUGCACAAAGUUUGAAUGAAGAAGGAAAUUGCCUUAAAAGGCAGGAAGGUGAGAAGUGGCAUAACUUUAAGUUGUAGUACUAGAAGUAGUAUGAUAAGAAGUCAAGUCGUGAUACUAGUAGUCAUGUCAGCAGUAGAAGUAGUUUGAGAAUGAAAGAAGAAUGAGUCAAAGUAGUAAAGAAAGUUGAAAUAGUAGCAAUAGCAGCAGUAGAGAAAGUAGAAAUAGGAGCAAUAGCAGUUGAAGUAGAGGGGAAAGUUCUAGUUUAAUUGACAUUAGCAGUAGUUGUAGUACUUGAGGUAGGAUUUUGUUUGAAGGAUGGAGUAAUGCAUGAAUAUUAAAAUUAAUUUAAAACAUGGAAAAUUUAAAUACUUAAAAAUCCUCAAGUAUCAGUUUGAAUGAGUUUAAAUUUGUUUGAAAAAUUAAAUGAUAAAUCAUCAAUGAGUGACUUAUAAAAGUGAAAAAUUUAAAUGAAUAUAAAUCCUGAAUACACCCCAUAAUGUCCUCAAUGAGCUUAAAUUUUAAAGCCCUGAAUGGUUUCUGUAGGUCAAAGGUCAUGUGAGGAGAUAGGGGCUUAGGUUUUUUCAAGCGCUCUAGUAAAGGGUUGUAAGUGUCACCCCCAGUGUUAUGUGUACUGAGCCUGGCUUCAUGUGUCUCACAUGGCCAUUAGAAGCAGCUUUCAAGUCAGCUGUGUGUCUCCAGGUGCACAAAUUGGUUGCCAUGGGGACCUUGGAUGCAUAACUAUAGCAGGAGAAAGAAGGCUUGAAGCUAAGGAAACAGGACUCCAAGUAGGCCCUGACACUCAUCCUCUGUAUAUAUUCAUAAGGAGCUAGUGAGAACACAAGACUCUGCUGAACACAUUAAUACAAUUUAUUAUCACAAUCCUCAAAACAUCCCAUAAUAUCUUCAAUGAGCUGAAUUUUUCAAGCCCAGAAUGGUUUCUGUAGCUCAAAGUUUGUGGGUGGAGAUAGGUGGUGAAGCAGACACAUAUUACCUGUGUGUACAAGCAGCUGAACUGCAAGGUAGACCUGACAGCAAAAAGUACAAGAAUGUGUGUGUGUGUGUGUGUCUCGUUAAUGACUGCAUCCUGAACAGCUGUGAGAUCAAAGGCAAAUCACUGACCUACUGUUUGAAUGAGAAGCAGCUGAACUGCAGAGGAUUUAAACCAUGUGAACUUCUUCACAUAGUGUGAUUUCCUUAAGUCCCAGAAUGAAAAUAAGAACAUCGUACGAAUCCUCCGUCCUUCAUGAACACAAUGAUGUGUUUUUCAUGUCUGUACUUCGAAAAAUGAGGCCACAACAGCGAGUUAAAAAAGUCUGAGCCUGAGCGAUGAUCCGGAUUUUCUUGGAGAAAAAUAACAUUAUGGUCAAUGGGAGAGAUUUCCGCCUUCCUUGGACAGUUGGUCACCUGCUGGCCAAGGGGUACAAUUUAAUGAUUUGAAACGUCUUUUGUGAGAAGCAGGACACAUAUACCUCCAUUUUGAUGUAUUAUUUGUGUCAGUGGAGUGAGAUUUGUGGGCGUGGGAGCGGUAUAUUCGAGCGAGGUUCUGUCGAUCAGAGACGAGGUCUGCACUCUAGCUGAUGACAUCAUCUCUCUAAACUCUCCAAUACACACCCAUUAUAAAGCCUGAAAAUUUGCUGAAAACCACAAGUUGCUUAAAGCUAAAUUGUGGAAAAACUGUACAAGAUAUCAAAAAACUGAGCACAACUUUAAUAGUCGACAAGUGAAUGAACAUUUUAAAGCAAAAAUGAGGUCUCUAGGUGAAAGUAUGCUGAAGUUAUUAGGUCUAGAAGGUGGAAGAAUAAAAGGAAGAAGUGGAACAUUUCCCCAUUCAUUUCUAUGGGAAAAAAAGUUUGGCACAAAAAGUGAAAAAUAAUAAAAAGUACAAAGGAUAGAAAGGAAAAAAAUACAAGCACACAUGUCCUGAUGGAGUGGAAUAGUUUAAAGUUUGAACGGUUGAAAUCGGACAAAGUUUGAAGGAGGAGAAGCGGUCCAAAGAAACGUAUGGGGAGAGUGUUAAGUAUAAUACUAGAAAAAUUGCAUUUCCUUGCAGAAAAUGCGUGGAAAUGCUGAGUGCUGAAAGCUGAAAAAGCAAUGCUAAACUGCUAAUAAAACAUGGAGAAAUGUAUAAAUGUUAAAGCUGUUGAAGGGGUGUGAAAGAAAUGUAAGUUGGAUAAUUGAUUAAUUGGUUGAAGGACAAAUAGUAUGAAUAUGCUCUAUAAAAAGAAAUUUGAUUCAUGCUGAAAGAGGCUAGAAAAAUGUCUAAAAUUGCACAAAGUUUGAAUGAAGAAGGAAAUUGCCUUAAAAGGCAGGAAGGUGGGAAGUGGCAUAAGUUUAAUUUUUUAAGUAUUAGAAAGGUUUGAAUCAGUUUGAAUCAGUUCAAAUUAGUUUGAAAAAUUAAAUGAUAAAUCAUCACUGAGUGACUUUAAAAUGUGAAAAAUCUAAAUGUAUAAAAAUCCUAAAUACACCCCAUAAUGUCCUCAAUGAGCUCAAAUUUUAAAGCCCCGAAUGGUUUCUGUAGGUCAAAUGUCAUGUGAGGAGAUAGGGGCUGAAGUUUUUUCAAGCGCUCUAGUAAAGGGUUUUAAGUGUCAUCCCCAGUGCUAUGUGUACUGAGCCUGGCUUCAUGUGUCUCAUAUGGCCAUCAGAAGCAGCUUUCCAGUCAGCUGUGUGUCUCCAGGUGCACUAAUUGGUUGCCAUGGGGACCUUGGAUGCAUAACUAUAGCAGGAGAAAGAAGGCUUGAAGCUAAGGAAACAGGACUCCAAGUAGGCCCUGACGCUCAUCCUCUGUAUCUAUUCCUGAUAAGGAGCUUAUGAGAACACAAGACUCUGCUAAACACAUUAAUACAAUUUAUUAUCACAAUCCUCAAAACACCCCAUAAUAUCUUCAAUGAGCUGAAUUUUAGAAGCCCAGAAUGGUUUCUGUAGCUCAAAGUUUGUGGGUGGAGAUAGGUGGCGAAGCAGACACAUAUUAACUGUGUGUACAAGCAGCUGAACUGCAAGGUAGACCUCAUAAAGCAACAAGUACAAGAAUGUGUGUGUGUGUGUGUCUCGUUAAUGACUGCAUCCUAAACAGCUGUGAGAUCAAAGGCAAAUCACUGACCUACUGUUUGAAUGAGAAGCAGCUGAACUGCAGAGGAUUUAGAGGCUCUAAACUUCUUCACAUAGCGUGAUUUCCUUAAGUCACAGAAUGAAAAUAAGAACAUCGUACGAAUCCUCCGCCCUUCAUGAACACAAUGAUGUGUUUUUCAUGUCUGUACUCCGACAAAUGUGGCCACAACAGCGAGUUAAAAAAGUCUGAGCCUGAGCGAUGAUCCGGAUUUUCUUGGAGAAAAAUAACAUUACGGUCAAUCGGAGAGAUUUCCGCCUUCUUUGGACAGUUGGUCACCUGCUGGCCAAGGGGUACGAUUUAAUGAUUUGAAACCUCUUUUGUGAGAAGCAGGACACAUAUACCUCCAUUUUGAUGUAUUAUUUGUGUCAGUGGAGUGAGAUUUGUGGGCGUGGGAGCGAUAUAUUCGAGCGAGGUUCUGUCGAUCAGAGACGAGGUCUGCACUCUAGCUGAUGACAUCAUCACUCUAAACUCUCCAAUACACACCCAUUAUAAAGCUUGAAAUUUGCUGAAAACCACAAGUUGCUUAAAGCUUAAUUGUGGAAAAACUGUAAGAGAUAUCAAAAAACUGAGUACAACUGUAAUAGUCGACAAGUGAAUGAACAUUUUAAAGCAAAAAUGAGGUCUCUAGGUGAAAGUAUGCUGAAGUAGUAAGGCUUAGAAGGUGGAAGAGUAAAAGGUAGAAUUUUAAGAUUUCCCCAUUCAUUUUUAAUGGUACAAAUUUUGCACAAAAAGUUAAAAAAAACCAAAAGUAUAAAGGGUAGAAAGGAAAAAAAUACAAGCCCUCAUGUCCUGAAGGAGUGGAAUAGUUUAAAGUUUGAACGGUUUAAAUAGCACAAAAUUUGAAGGAGGAGAUAGCGGACAAAAAUUGGCGGAAGAAUAAUAAUAAUAAUAAAGAAAAUGGCCGACAGGAAUAACAAUAAGUGGAAAUGCUUAAUCAGCAUUUCCACUUAACUAG
rnacentral:lncRNA from 1 species